UCGAAGGAUAAUGAUCUCAAUUAUUCCUGGCAAAUGGGGCAAAAAAUUAACAUAAAUGGUGUUUCUUAACUUCAGGUCCAGUCCGAUAUCUCUGAACUGAGAUACUGAAAACUUGUCUGGGAUUACUUUUUUUGUUGUUCUUUUUUUCUGAGUACGUAACAACAUACAGCUCUUUCAUGUGAAAAAACAGCUUUCUUCAGGGGUUGUUCCAGGUAAACACUCCAUACUUAAAUGAAUCACAGCAUAAAGUGCGAAGAAAAUGAGAAAUAUAGAGUCAGUCACUGCCCAUUAAUAUUUGUUUAAAGUAAAUUGCCUAAAUUUAUUUAAGAAUUCUAGUAAGGAAAAGAAUCUUUCAGAUUAGCUACAAAUUUUUCCCAUCUGUGGUGAAUUCAUUCACUCAAGGUGGAAGUGGCAACUUAGUUUUGAGACAAGAACCUUUUUAAUGCUAUCUGGUCAUAGUUGCUAUCCCAACCCUGUGCUAUGACCUUGGUGAUAGAUUUGAGACUACACCCUCAGUUCUUCUUAAUCUGGAGUGUAAUGAGAGAAUUAAAGCGCUACAGAGAAAACGAAAAGGUGGCUGGUGAAUGUUCAUAGAAUCAUGGAAUAGAAAAAAAAAAACCCAACAAAGCAAAAAACCUGUACACAUAAAUUUUGUGGGUGAUAUUAUCAGAUUGUUGCACUUACUGACUGGCUGUUUCAAGCUCCUCUUGGUCAGAAAUUAAAGAGCUAAAAGGAGUGGAUUUUAAAAUAUGUUCUCUAGCAGAGAAGUACAUAUUAAACCAUGAAUGUACCAAAAUAAGAUUAAAAAUAAUUUAAUCCCAUUUAGCAAUCUUUAGAUACGUGUCACAAAAUAUUUCUAUAUACUAAUUCAUCACCUUGCUGACAGCUCAAUUUCCAAUU